rnacentral:pre_miRNA from 1 species
ACAGAAAUCACCUCAGGGUAUUGUUAAAAUGAAGAUUUUGAUUCAGUAUGUUUGGUGUAGGGACCUGAGAUUCUGUAUUUUCUAACUUUCUCUCAGAUGAUGUUGAU